GGGGGGAGGCCAGAUCCUGGGCUGUGUCCCCGCACCCUGUGCUCCCCAGCCUGCGCUGUUGGAUUCGCGCUCCUGGCCGGGCAGCCCCCU
rnacentral:pre_miRNA from 1 species